AGAGCGAACGCUGGCGGCAGGCCUAAUACAUGCAAGUCGAACGCACCUUCGGGUGAGUGGCGGACGGGUGAGUAACACGUGGGAACGUGCCUUUUGGUUCGGAAUAAUCCGGGGAAACCUGGCCUAAUACCGGAUGUGCCCUUCGGGGGAAAGAUUUAUCGCCAUUAGAGCGGCCCGCGUCUGAUUAGCUUGUUGGUGGGGUAAUGGCCCACCAAGGCUACGAUCAGUAGCUGGUCUGAGAGGAUGAUCAGCCACACUGGGACUGAGACACGGCCCAGACUCCUACGGGAGGCAGCAGUAGGGAAUCUUGCGCAAUGGGCGAAAGCCUGACGCAGCCAUGCCGCGUGAAUGAUGAAGGUCUUAGGAUUGUAAAAUUCUUCAGCGGGGAAGAUAAUGACUGUACCCGCAGAAGAAGCUCCGGCUAACUUCGCGCCAGCAGCCGC
rnacentral:rRNA from 1 species